rnacentral:ncRNA from 2 species
UAAUAAAUGUAGGGGGGCUGGUGAAGCUGGCUGAGAUUGUAUCCGUAUGAUACUGACCCUUAGAACCUGAUCUGGUUGGUACCAGCGGAGGGAACAUAAUCAUAUUUUUC